rnacentral:rRNA from 1 species
AUUUUUGCAAUACAAGGUAUUGAAUAAGACUUUAAUUGAGUGCUAAGAGAAUGGAAUUUCAUAAAAUUUCUUUUUUAAUUUUAAAAAUUGAAAUUAAUUUUAUAUGUGAAGAAACAAUAAUAAAAAUUAAGGACAAGAAGACCCUAAGAAUUUUAAAAAUUUCAAUAAAAUGCUGUAUUUUAUUGAAAUUUUUUAAUUGGGGCGAUUAUUAAAUAUUAAAAACUUUAAUUUUUUUAAAAAAGAACCAAUAAUAUUGGUUAUUUGAAAAAAUACUCUAGGGAUAACAGCGUAAUAAUUUUUGAUAGUUCUUAUAGACAAAAUAGUUUGCGACCUCGAUGUUGGAUUAGGAUUCUUUUUUAAUGAAGAAGUUAAAAAAAGAAGUUUGUUCAACUUUUAAAAUCCUA